rnacentral:lncRNA from 1 species
CUCCCUUAACUUUUGAAACUAUACGUUUUACCUCCUUGGCCCAGUUAUCAACGAUUUUAAAGACGAUUUUGUCUUUUUCUUUUUUAUUUAUUUUGGCUGAAUCUUUAAAAAAAUCAUAGUAAAUCAUAAAAAAAAUCAUAAAAUAGAACAUCCAAUUUUGUUAGACUCAACAUGAGUAGAUCUACACGGUAAACAUAUAAUAUGAUAUGCUUUAGUAUAAAAUUUUUGUUGUAGAUUUUGAUCUAUUUUUUUGUAAUUAAUUUUUGCUGCAGUUUCUAUGGUCCAAUUGUAGUAAAAUUUUUAUAGUGGCCUAG